rnacentral:rRNA from 1 species
UACGAAGGGGGCUAGCGUUGUUCGGAAUUACUGGGCGUAAAGGGCGCGUAGGCGGCCUCUUAAGUCGAACGUGAAAUCCCCGGGCUCAACCCGGGAACUGCGUCCGAUACUGGGAGGCUUGAAUCCGGGAGAGGGAUGUGGAAUUCCAGGUGUAGCGGUGAAAUGCGUAGAUAUCUGGAGGAACACCGGUGGCGAAGGCGGCAUCCUGGACCGGUAUUGACGCUGAGGCGCGAAAGCUAGGGGAGCAAACGGG